AGCAGCCGCGGUAAUUCCAGCUCCAAUAGCGUAUAUUAAAGUUGUUGCAGUUAAAAAGCUCGUAGUUGAAUUUCGGGAUUGACGUGAUGGUCGUGCCUUACGGGGUAUGAACUGUUGCAGUCAAUUUCUCACCUUCUGGAGAAAUAUGAUGUCCUUAAUUGGGUGUCAUAUGGAACCAGAACUUUUACCUUGAAAAAAUUAGAGUGUUUAAAGCAGGCUUAUUGCUCGAAUACAUUAGCAUGGAAUAAUAAAAUAGGACGGCAUGGUUCUAUUUUGUUGGUUUCUAGGAUCACCGUAAUGAUUAAUAGGGAUAGUUGGGGGCAUUAGUAUUCAAUUGUCAGAGGUGAAAUUCUUGGAUUUAUUGAAGACUAACUACUGCGAAAGCAUUUGCCAAGGAUGUUUUCAUUAAUCAAGAACGAAAGUUAGGGGAUCGAAGACG
rnacentral:misc_RNA from 1 species